ensembl:lncRNA
UGCACUGUAGCCCAAUAAACAAGUAAACACAUUUGUUAAUAAAAUAGUGAUUAAAAAAUACUCUUUCAAAAUGCAGCUGUAUAUUUAGUUAUGGAUACAUAAUUAAUUACUAUGGGAAUAAAUAUCACUGAAUUACAGAAAUAUUGGAACAAAGUUGUCUAAUGAAGGUAAAGAAAUUGUUGCUUACUGGAAAAUACUAGUACAGUGCCAUUAUGGCUGUUAGCAGAACAAUAGACUUGUAUAUUAUCAGAACAAUAGACUUGUCUAUUAGCAGGGCUAUUAGCAGAACAAUAGACUUGUCUAUUAGCAGGGCUAUUAGCAGAACAAUAGACUUGUCUAUUAGCAGAACAAUAUACGUGACUAUUAGCAGAACAAUAGACUUGUCUAUUAGCAGGGCUGUUAGCAG